GCACUCUCACUCCUAACCUUUGUGGUUAUGAUGUGGAAUUGGGAUGCGCCGAUUUUUACUAGUCGGCACUCCUAAAAUGUAGCUCUUGGCUGUUUCCUACUACAGCAGUUUGGCCUAAUAGUUUUGACUUUUGUCAAAUCUUUGGCUACAUUUGCUUCUGGAAAUCAGUCUUGAUAAUACAGAAAACUCAUUUCAAA
rnacentral:misc_RNA from 1 species